GAAAGCAACCAAGAACAAGGCAAGAAGGAAACUAAUAACAGACUUCAUGUUGUUUUUUGUUUUGUUUUGUUUUGUUUUUGUUUUGUUUU
rnacentral:ribozyme from 12 species